GAAACAAACUCUUCUCGGCUAUUUUUUACCAUCUACGUGCCUGUAAUGUUCAAACAAUAAGUACAUACAGUGAGGAGAGUUAUCACUGGCAGGUGUGAGUCAACCAUGUGUUAGGAUCGAUUUGCGUACACACAGUAGAUCUACGGAGAGGAUGAAGAAAACAAGAGAGAGAGUUUGUGAGGAGAGAGAGAGAUGAGUGAGAAAUGAUAUCGUGGUAACACCCGUAGGUAAACUCCACGGCAGAUGAGCUAUUUCUAUUAAUGAUUUAGAGUAUGUACAGUUACACAGAGAAAUGAGAAUAAACAGUACAAUCUAAAACUUCAUGUGCCCAUAACCACAACAAUCAUUGAAAUAACUCCUUUUUAAUGAGGGGUAAAUGGGUAAUUUGGUCAAAUUAUUAAUAUUAAUUAAGAGAAUUUAAAAGGAGUGGAUCACACCCACUCUUGUUCACACAUUAAGUUGCAGAGAAGUAGAAUAUUAGGGUUUUUUUUAAUCCCUUUAUUGCUGGAACGAAAAACAAGAAGUUUAUGGCGAAAUUUGGGAGAGUUGAAAGGCGAAAAUAGAGAUUUUGAACCACUUUUGCUGUUGUUUGGAGUGAUUUUAGCCUUCAGAUGUCGUUGAGCUGGGAGUGACCAGUGGCUGAGGAUAUGUACGUGUGAGUUCCGUUGCUGAGGUGAGCCUUCCCAUUGUUCGUGGAGGAUGUCAUUUAGCUUUAGAUCUUUUCAGAUUAUGUUUCUUUUCGCUGGGUUUAUAUGCCUGAAAGUUGAACUCAUGUAACUCUGUUUUGAUGCUCCAUGAUCUUAGUGUGGAAUUUGGGCUAGAGGUUUAUUAUUUAAAGUAUUGUUGCUUCCAUAAAUCGUUAUACGAUAAUUGGUUGGAUAAUAACUGUGCAUUUAAUUGGUAUUUCAUGCAUUUGGAGUGCAUAUAUUUUUAUCUCGGUGUUUAUAGACAUUGUGCAUGUAUGGGAAAUCGGUUCUCCCGGAAAGUGGUGUUAGCGGGAGCCAGUCACACCUAGGGGUUAAUUUGUGACGUGACAAUCAUAUUGUUCCUUUCUUUUUAUUUCUAAUCUGAUACUUUCUUUCGCUUAAUUGCUCUAUGUUGAUCUCAAACUAACGAGGUUGUGUUUGAAUUUGACUACUGCCGCAAAAGCACAAACUGAGUGGAUAUCGUGUUCCUUAAACUUAAGAUCUUGAAACAGGUGAGGUUAGAUAUCUCAACUUGGGAUGUCUCAGACGACUCAUUUCCCAUGCUUGAAACACUAUUUAUAAGUGCUUGUACCGAGCUCGAGGUGAUCCCUUUCAGCUUUGCUGAUAUUCCGACACUGAAACAGAUUAAAUUGAUUAGGUGCGACAACAAAACUCUGGAGACUUCAGCAUUGAAAAUUAAGAAUGACGUCGAAGAGAAUGAAGGAUGCGACCGUGUAAACCUGCUCACUAUCGAAGUAACUAGAAACAAACUCAUAUGUGUUGUUUUUGAGUCUAUACGUGCAUCUAAUUUCAGAACUAUGAUUCCUGGAAGCCGCGAUUAAAGCCCACAGCAUAAAAAUAUGAUAUUGUUUUUUUGAUU